UCUCCACUACAUCUCAACAUUCGCUAAUAAAUUAUUCAUUUUAUUGUAGCAUUAAACCACCGCGACGUUUUCUGUCAAAACAGAGAUAGAAGGAAACCGCCCAGUACACCACCACUCUCCACUUCUACUCCACAUUUCACUCUCAGUUUUCACCUCAAAUACCCACUUCAGCAUCUCCCUUUUGCUGCCUCUUUCAUUCAUCAUGAAGCAUUUCUAUCGGCUUCCGUUAUGCUUUUUAUUGCUUUUGUUCUCAAUGGCCUCCGUGAGCUCAGAGUAUGUCAAGUACAAGAACUCGAAGCUGUCAGCGGCCGCUCGGGUUAAGGACUUGUUGAGUAGAAUGACACUGGAAGAGAAGAUUGGUCAGAUGGUUCAGAUUGAUCGGACCGCUGCCACUGCCCAGAUAAUGAAACAUUUCUCCAUUGGGAGUGUGUUGAGUGGUGGUGGAAGUACGCCGCUUCCUGAGGCGAGUGCUGAAGAUUGGGUCAAUAUGGUUAAUGAUUUUCAGAAAGGAUCUUUGGCUAGUCGUUUGGGAAUCCCAAUGAUAUAUGGCAUUGAUGCCGUUCAUGGCCACAACAAUGUUUAUAAUGCUACUAUUUUUCCUCAGAAUAUUGGCCUUGGAGCUACCAGGGAUCCGGAUUUGGUGAAGAGGAUUGGGGCUGCAACUGCUCUUGAGACUAGAGCUACAGGGAUUCCUUAUGUUUUUGCGCCUUGCAUUGCGGUUUGUAGAGAUCCAAGAUGGGGUCGGUGUUAUGAGAGCUAUAGCGAGGAUCAUAAAGUUGUGGAAGCAAUGACAGAGAUUAUACUUGGAUUACAAGGAGAUAUUCCUUCUGAUUAUCGAAAAGGAGUUCCAUAUGUGGGUGGAAAGGACAAGGUUGCGGCCUGUGCUAAGCACUUUGUGGGUGAUGGUGGGACAACCAAUGGCAUCAAUGAGAACAAUACUGUGAUUGAUUUGCAUGGGUUGCUGAGCAUCCACAUGCCUGGUUAUUCUGAUUCGAUCAUCAAGGGUGUUUCAACAAUCAUGGUUUCCUAUUCUAGCUGGAAUGGAGUAAAGAUGCACGCAAACCAUGAAUUAGUUACUGGUUAUCUGAAGAACACCCUUAAGUUUAAAGGUUUUGUUAUCUCAGACUGGGAGGGGAUUGAUAGAAUCACUUCACCACCACAUGCAAACUACACUUACUCUGUCCUAGCUGGGGUUCAAGCUGGGAUUGACAUGGUCAUGCUCCCCUACAAUCAGACUGAGUUCAUUGAUGAUCUUACUGGUCUUGUCAAGAGCAAUGUAAUCUCAAUGGAUCGUAUUAAUGAUGCUGUAGGGAGGAUUUUGUUUGUCAAGUUCACCAUGGGUCUCUUUGAGAACCCUUUGGCUGAUCUCAGCCUUGUGAAUGAGCUUGGUAGCCAGGCACAUAGAGAAUUGGCAAGGGAAGCUGUGAGGAAAUCACUUGUAUUGCUGAAGAAUGGGAAAAAUGAGAGCAAUCCGGUUCUACCACUUCCCAAGAAAGCUUCAAAGAUCCUAGUCGCUGGUAGCCAUGCUGAUAAUUUGGGUUAUCAAUGUGGUGGGUGGACAAUCAACUGGCAAGGAUUUAGUGGCAACAACCUGACAAGGGGGAUCACCAUCCUGAGUACCAUAAAAGCUUCUGUACACCCAAGCACAGAAGUUGUCUACCGUGAGACUCCUGAUUCUGAGUUUGUUAAGUCUGACAAAUUUGAUUAUGCCAUUGUUGCUGUUGGUGAGGCCCCUUAUGCUGAGACUGCAGGGGACAGCAUGAACCUCACAAUGUUGGAAUCUGGCCCAGAUGUCAUUAAAAAUGUCUGCAGAGCUGUUAAGUGUGUGGUUAUCAUAAUUUCUGGCAGACCUAUAGUGAUCGAACCAUAUGUUUCCUCAAUUGAUGCCUUAGUUGCAGCAUGGUUACCAGGCACUGAAGGACAAGGUGUGACUGAUGUUCUGUUUGGGGACUUUGGCUUUAGUGGAAAACUUCCAAGAACUUGGUUUAAAACAGUGGAUCAACUUCCUAUGAAUGUUGGGGAUCCCCACUAUGACCCAUUGUACCCUUUUGAUUUUGGACUUAAAACUGAAUCAGUUCCAAGCCUUGUUGCCAGGUCAACCUCGGCUGGUGUGGACAAAAGACCAUACGUAGUUCUCAUCAUUGUUUCUCUAAUGAUCGGUUCAUAUUUCACAGCAAAGAAGAAAUUCUUUGGUAUGUCUUCUUGGUCAAAGGGAUUUCCUUCAUAUUUUCUCCAGAGAUGAUGGUUAGAAUUCAACACAUUUUCUUCUCAACUUCAUUCUAAUCCUCAUAGAAUGGUGGUGGUUGCCGACUAGAGGAAAUUCCCCGUCAGUUUUUCCAACUCUUUAAGGAUACUUUUGAGGGACUGGAAGAGCUACGAAACUAUGAACUAGGAUACUUGCUAAAACAUGCUUGAUAAGAACCAACCUCUGGAUGGUCACUUACCCUUCCAACCAGAGUCUCUUUCUAACUGUGUCCAGCAAUGGCAAAAGAAUCUCAUCUUCGAGGUUCCUUGGAAGAGCGGAACACAAGAUAAGUCAUUGGGAACCUACUCUUAGACAUGCCUGUCAAACUACCUCCAGGAUGGCAACUCGCAAACAGGAAUUGGUGGGUGGUGACAUCGUGCCUCCCAAUCUCUAAUCUAGGAUCUAUGGCUUCAAUAAGGUUUGCCUCUUUUAGGUGUAUCAUUCCCCUUAUUCGGGGCGUAUCUAAAAAGUCGUCAGAAUGGCUGCUCCGAGUUUGUUACCAUCAAUGGUGUAAUGCAAGAUUUAUUUUUUUGAAAGCAAUGUGUUUAAAUGAAUUUUAGUUAACUCCCUUAUGAUUAGUCAAGAUAUCUUAAUAGCCCCUAUUUUGGAA